rnacentral:rRNA from 1 species
UACGUAGGGUGCAAGCGUUGUCCGGAAUUAUUGGGCGUAAAGAGCUCGUAGGCGGUCUGUCGCGUCUGCUGUGAAAACUCAGGGCUUAACCCUGAGCUUGCAGUGGGUACGGGCAGACUAGAGUGCGGUAGGGGAGACUGGAAUUCCUGGUGUAGCGGUGAAAUGCGUAGAUAUCUGGAGGAACACCGGUGGCGAAGGCGGCAUCCUGGACCGACACUGACGCUGAGGAGCGAAAGCCAGGGGAGCAAACGGG